GACCAGAACCGCCCACCGCCGCGUAGGGCACGCCUGCUCCGCGUCUAGGGACCGGUCACUGGCGACUGGCGCCGCCCACUGCUGCCCUAGGGAGCUACCGCGUUCACUCGGCGCCGCGCCGCGCUGAAGCUAGAGCACCGCCGAUAGUUUCCACGUCGCACACACCACCGGCUCGGCUCCCCUAGCCGAACUAUGGCCCUGGUCGGCUCCACUAGCGGCUCUAUCUACGGCGCCGAGAGCUGCGACGCAGAAAAUCGCGGAGCGCUGCCAAAUCUUUCGGCAACGUCCCGAGGACGGGUUCUUUAUAUACCGACACGGCUACGAAAAUAGGAAGAGCAAAUAGACGCGGGCGGCACUCACGUGAAUCGCGAUCCGUGCUCCGCUCUGCUGACUAGGCGACCGCUAACCAGGCUUAAUCGAACACGCUCGGCGACGCGCGACAGAUGGACACACGCGCGCGCGCGUCACCUUGCGCGACGAUUGCACGGCAUGUUAGAGGGUGAUAAUUGACGCGCCCGCGUAUUUUCCGAGGAAAAUCCUACAUCAGCGUGCUCAACAACGCGGCUGCUUUUUUUAGAUCAAUCGGUUGGACCUGUGGCUGCGGCGAGGAGACGUUGUCGAUUUGUGUUUUGUGCGGUGAGAGUAUUCUUUUCGUGUGAACGGAAUGGAGGAGGAGAUUGUCGUGGAAUGGUAGAAGAUAUUUCAGAAGGAAAUACGAAGAAGGCUGAAGGUUGAAACUAAGCCUCUUUGAUGUCCUUGUCACGAAAGGGGAAACGAAGCCACGCCCAUCUAGUGCGCUCUAAACCAGGGCUCGGAAUUAUCGGCAUGCAACGUGAGGAUCGCAAGGCCACGCCUCUUGACUCCCGCCGCGCGUCUCGCUCACCCAUGGUUCACCCACAUAAAGCAACUGGCGCCGAGACGAAAGAGGCGGCCACGGGUGAGCGAUGCGCGCAACGGGAGUUAGGAGGCGUAGCUCUCGCGAACCUUACGUUGCUUGCUAAUUAUUCCGAGCGCUGCUCAAGGAAAAAAGAUUUUUUUGAAAGAUGCUCUUAUAGAAAAUAAAUGAUGUAAACGAGGAUAGAAUGUGAAGGCAAUCAAACUACGCCCUUUUGUAAUUCUUUGCGUAGAGACGGGAAUUAAAACGACGCCCGCCGAGUAUUUCGACCCACGGCCACGCCUAUUUGCUUAAAAAUAGCGAAACAGAUAGUCUGCGCGGACAAAUUAACAGGCUUUGGAAAUUAAAUAGAUUAUGUAGAAAUAGAAUUGUAGAAGAAUGUGGAAAUAAAAAUAGAAUAUGUAGAAA